rnacentral:lncRNA from 12 species
CCUAUGUUUAUUUAUUUAUUUAUUUUUAUUUUUAUUUAUUUAUUUUUUUUGCUCUAUGUUUAGAAACAGUUGCACCUUUGCGGGUUUUGUGAGUGUUUGGUAUGCUCUAAUACGAGAAGGGCAAGAUAAGAGGAAGGAAGUUGAAUACUGCGCAACUGUUAAAUAAAUAUACUUCUUGUCCUGGAGCUAUUGACCAUUGAUCUGUAAAGAAAGAGAAACUAGUACAUUUGGAUGAGUGCUGCAGGCAGGGUCCACGC